UCUCCCUGUAGCCCCAGCUGUCCUGGAACUCACUAUGUAGACCAGGCUGGCCUUGAACUCACAAAGAUCCACCAGCCUCUGCCUCCCAAGUGCUGGAAUUAAAGGUGUGCACCACCAUGCCCG
rnacentral:miRNA from 1 species